GACGAACGCUGGCGGCGUGCCUAACACAUGCAGGUCGAACGGUGAAGCGCCUUCCUUUUUGGUGGGUGUGGAUGAGUGGCGGAAGGGUGCGUAACACGUGAGUAACCUGCCCUCUACUUCUGGAUAACAGCAUGAAAGUGUGGCUAAUACGGGAUAUUCUGGGUCUGUCGCAUGAUGGGUCCGGGAAAGAUAUUGUUUCGGUGGGGGAUGGGCUCGCGGCCUAUCAGUUUGUUGGUGGGGUGAUGGCCUACCAAGGCGGUGACGAGUAGCCGGCCUGGGAUGAUGGGCCGCCACGGUAGUGAGGAGAGGCCGACAAGACUACUACAGGAGGCAGCAGUGAGUAAUAUGGCACGAGGGACGCAAGCCUGAAGCAACGACGCGGGGUGAGGGAUGGAGGCCUGCUGGUUGAGAACUUCUUGCGCGAGGGAAGCAGAGCUGCCUCAUUUGUGGGUGUGUUGACGGUAGCUGGAGAAGAAGCACCGGCUAACUACGUG
rnacentral:rRNA from 1 species